UUGACAUUCAAAAAGAUUGGGUCUUUUGAAGUGCAAUCACUUCUCCAGAGCCUUGGCAGCAGUGGAUAAAUGCCUCUUCAUACCCUUGAGUGUCCAGAACUUCUGCAGAGUAACUAGCACACAGUCACCAUUGUAGUAGAAGAGCUUGAUCAGCAACACACAAUCCUGCUUGAGAUAGGCUUGCCGAGCAGCUCAGAUGCAAACUGCGGAACAGCUGUGUACCUGGCAUCCUAUGCAUAUUCUGUCACUUACAGCACCAUCUGGGGGUGUUUUGGACCUGGAACUUUAAUUAUAACCACACUGUAUAUACUGGUUGGUCGGUCAGUCUGUCAGAGCUAAGGCAAUUAGAUUAUCUGAACAUGAGAGAGGCAUGAGAUUAAGAAAGAAGAAUUCAACCUUUGCCAAUAAUCUUUUUAACAGAAAACCACUCAUAUGACUUAAAGAGUGUGAAGUUUUAUACUUCGUUAAGCAAAGCUGAAGGAUGGCCCUUCUGGAAAUAUUGGAGACCAACAAAAACAUGAUACAGAAUUCCAGUUAAGGAACAUACGUCGUGUAUCCCUCCGCCACUGCUAUUU